CCCCUAUGUUCCAUUUUUAGCUGUGGCGGCCAUAUUGGUUGGAUGCUGGGUCACCCCACACAGUUUUUAAACUACAGACUCCAAUGACUAUUGUGGUCAAGUUUGAUUACAUUUGGCCCAGAAGUUUCAGAAGAAAAGAUUUUUGUAAAAGUUAAUGAUGACGGACGCCGGACGCCAAGUCAUGAGAACAGCUGACUUGGCCCUCUGGGCCAGGUGAGCUAAUAAUAAUGAAUUCAUAGUAUUUACAAUCACAUCUUUUAGAAUUCAUAUCAAAAGGAAGUAGCAUACCUGCUGUAGUUU
rnacentral:lncRNA from 1 species